CCGGGCAUGGCGGAACAGGUAGACGCAGGGGACUUAAAAUCCCCCGGGUUAUCCCAUGCCGGUUCGAGUCCGGCUGCCCGGACCA
rnacentral:tRNA from 1 species